CGACUAUCAUUAACCAAACUAUAGCUUCUACAUUACCGUGCAUUGUGUGAAUGUUCACGAAGUGAAUGUAAUGGGAAAAUGAAAUAGUACUAUGGUGUAGUAUCAAAACUACAACCAUACUAACUACCUUAAAUCUAUUGUAAUCUUGUAAGUACUGUAGUAUUUGUAAUAAGUGACUACUUUUGUACUAAUUUUGCCUUAUUUGAGGGAUAAGCCAUAAUGUGAUGGCUAGAUCCCAGGCUAUAUCCUCCCCUGUCAAAGAGAUUUUAGGACCCAUACAUGACCCCUUCAUGUUUGCAAGCCGCGAACAUCCACAUUACUAUGAUCAUGUAUACCCAAUAUAACUAUCACAAUGCGUUGUGAUUCAUUGGUAUAGUUAGAUCCUGAAAUCGUUCCAUGCUAUAGCACCUAGUGAUGUCUGUCCUAUUAUCAUAUAUGUAAACGCACUCAUGUAAACGUAUCUAUGUAAACGUACUCAUGAAAGCGUAAUCAUGUAAAUGUAAUCAUGUAAUAGUAUAGUAAUGUACGAUAAUGUUCUGCGUGUACUAGCUGUAACGUGUGUUCUCUCUCUAUCUAGCAUGUAUAGUAAUGUACUGUGUGUACUAGCUGUAAUGUGUGUUUUCUCUCUAUCUAGCAUGUAUAGACUCAUGAAUGAACUGACUCGUGGUAUGAUUCCGCAUUCUAGUAAACGUAUUAGUAUCUUCCUAAACUACCCAUAUGGUAGCUUACUAGUAAUGUAACUGGUACGUAUGAACAUGGAAGUAUACCCUUGCUACCAAAGGGCAUUGAACUGACUGGAAGAACCUUUAUGACUACAUAUGUACACAUGAUAUAUAACUAAUAAUUAAACGACUGUCGGACGGAUACCCGAUACCCCACCAGACCACAUCCCAACGGGGGAAAGGAAAUAAAGCGGCUAGCCUUCCUAAGUCCUUUAAACAUUUCUUGUAUAACUAUACAUAUAUAGGAAUGCAAUUGACAACACAAAAGAAUAACAGAAGUUUUGUGAAUUAUUGAAAAGUUUGGCAACUGAGAAAAGGUGACUUGAUGUAAAAAUGUAAAACAAUUUGAAAGUAGCUUGUUUGAUAAGAACAGUGUAAAGUAUAAUGAAAACUUUGUUUUGAAUCACAACUGUAAAAGGGUUUGAAAAGAUAUAUUUAGUAUGAAAGAUAGUUUAACAAAGAGUUUUAAAUGAGUAAAAGUGUCUUGGAAAAACCAUUUGAAGUAAACUGUUUGGUAAAACAGCUAAUGAGUAGUAAAUCAUUUGAAUGCUGCUUAUUAAUCACAUGUGAUUGAUAUAAUAACUAGCAUGAUUCUACUUGUAUCCCCCCAUAAAAGCAUUUAAAAACAUUUAAAACAUUGAUUAAGGGGUAUGAACUCACCUGUAGUUGAUGGUUUGGAUUUAUUGACUAACGUAGGAUGCUAAGUGUCAAGUGAAGACUUGUACACACACAAGGAUCCUAGUUAACAUAUAGUAGUACAUAUAUGUACCCAAUUGGUCUUUAAACAACUAAUUAAUAGAGUUAAGACAUCCUAAGACAUGAUAAACACUUUAUAUAAGUGUUAUAAGUGCUAAGGAGUGCAUCUAAGUGUUGUAGGACAAAGCUAUUGAGCUUAGGGUUCAAGGGAAGACCUAAUAUGAGUUUACUCCCUAAAGACCAUAACCCUUUGAGUUUAUGGUCGUAAACUCAUGGGUUUAUGUCCGUAAACUCAUGUCUUUUUGACCAUAGUUUGUUUUGAAGCCUUGCAAGUCCCUUGAAGCAUUUCUACAUUGAAGUAUAAGCCUAUGGAAGUGUUUGUGGCAUCAAAACACCCCUAUAUGUAGUUUACGGCCCAUGGACCACUUCUCCAUGUUUUUGCGGCCGUAAACACAUAUUAUGUAUGCUCAUUUGAUUUUUCCAAGUCGCAAACAUAUCAAGGAAUAUAUCUAGACUAGUUUCCAAAGCUUGUGAAGGGACUAGGGCCAUUUUUGACCCCUUAAGAAGGGUUUACGGCCCAAGAUGUUCUUGGACCGUAAACACCCUUAGUCUUGGUGUUUUCUUGUGAUUUUCUUGAUGUAAGGACGUAUACUAAGCAGUAUGAUACUCUAGGAUAGAAACACUUACGUUAUAGAAGCUUGAAAUGAGCCAAAAGUCCAAGAACGCUAGUGUGUGUUCUUGGUGUUCUUGGUGUAAAUUGAAGAUUGACCCUUUUGGAAUGAUUUCACGGUUAGAAGUGUGUUAAAACACUAGAUUAAGUCAUAUAACAACUUAAGAAAGCUAGAAAGACUUACUAGAUCGAAGAUCUCGAAAAACUUUUGGAUGAUACUUUAGAGAGAAAUGGGACUUGGAUCUCGAGAUUUGGAAAAAGUGUAAAUAAUGACUAGUUAUCAUAUAUAUACUCUCAGAUUUAGGGUUUUUGGCAGAAAAUAUUUUAUUUAGGCAGUAAACUCUAAUUUCUUAGAGUUUUGGAAUAACCGUGUUGCACAAUAACCCUAGAGCAUCCUCUCUCCUAAUAUCACUAAAGUGUGAAUCCUAAAAUACUCAAACUUAUCCAAAAAGUCUGAAAAUUAACAGCAACUACUCUGACAUCUAUUGACUUGACAUGUUUGUACAGAAUGGAAAUUUUGGGUUGUCACAUCAUCCCCCCGUUAGAAGGAAUUUCGUCCCGAAAUUAGAAUUUAGGUAAGGAAGUAGGCAUGAAUUGUUAAGCCAAGAAGUGGGAAAACUUCCUAAAUGAUUGAUUCUCGCGCUCCUAAGUGAAUUCGGGUCCCCGGUUGGCAUCUCAGCGAACCUUCACUUAAAAGGAAACGACUACGAAUCGUUUGCAUGACCUCUCGGUCCAUGGUCACUACAGUUCUUCCACGUAGGUGAGGCUCUUGUGGGACUCGAUCUCUUCUAGUGGGAUUUCAAGAGUCUCGUCGGAUCGAUACUUUUUACAAGUUCGAGACGUGAAGGGUAGAAUGUAUGUUACUAAGCUCGCGGAGUAGGUGUAGUCUACGAGAUACAGGACCGAUUCCGGUAAGAAUCUUGAAGGUCCUAUCUAUCUUGGAUUUAGCUUUCCACACUUUACGAAGUGUAUUAGGCCAUUCCCAGAGUGAGACUUCCUAAAGAAUUUGGUCUCUCACUUGGAAUUCCAAGGUUUCUUUUUCUUGCUUAACUUCCCAAUCAAGGGCCACCCUCUGCUGGGUCAAAGUCGUAAGGGUUUCUGAAAUUUGCGAGGAGUUUUGAAUGGACUACGAUAGUAGGUCUGCAAAACCUAGAAUUUAGCGAAUUUAUGUUGGCGCCUUCGGUGUCGACAAAUUCUCAACGGUUUUGAUAAAUUGAAAGAGUACUCAAGAAUUUCCACAUCACUAAUAGUGUGUCUUAGGAAUUUGACUCUUCAAUUCCAAAACUCGUGUUUAGAGAACCUCGCGAAGAGUUUCUCCGAGGGAAAUGUUUCCAUGGUUUCCUUCUUACUAAUAAAGUGGAUAAGUAAAUCAUCUACAAAGAGAAUGACAAAUUGAUCCAAGUAAGAAUGGCGUACCCUAUUCUUUAAACUCAUGAAUACUACGAGUGUAUUGGUCCUAUCCGAGAGGUAUCAAUACGGACUCGAAGUGUCCACAUCGAGUUCGGAAGGUAGUCUUCGGAACAUCCUUUGCUAACACUCGAACUGGUGAUAUUCGGAUCUCAAGUCCAUUUCUGAAAGUAAUUCUUUCCUUGCGUUUGCUCAACCAAUUCAUCUAUGCGAGGUAGAGAUAACGAUUUAUAAUGGAAAUCUUGACGGAGUCCCUGAUAGUUGAGGCACAUAUGAUAAAAUCCGUCUACUCCUGGAAGGAUAAGACCGGAGCUCUCCAGGGUAAGAAGCAUGGUCUUCCAAUUCUAUUGCUGAGUAGCUCGCUAAGUUGUCCGGACUGUUCUUAUAUCUCCGUAGGUCUUUAAACUGUAGGGCGAUCUGGUUACAGGACUCAUAUUGGGUUCUAAGUUUGUUCACAUAACGAUGCGAUUACUCGUAGUCUUGGACAGUCUCCAUCCUGAAGUUCAUAUUAGAAUUCAUACAUGAUUCAACGAUCACAAUCUCGUGUAUACGAGUCGUAUAUAAUUAAGAUUGAAAAGAUAGUCGAAUAACUGGUUCUUCUUUACGUUCACAUCCCAGUGAGGAAAGGAAGUUGAAGUGGAAUCAUCAAUUCUAAACCUGUAGAACCUUGAUUAUAUAUCACCCCCCAUGUAUACAUUCUUCAGCGAUAAAUCAACUGUAUGGAUCCUUGGAUUGAACUUGACGUACUGUACGAGUGGUACUUCGGGGAUUUCUUUGGAAAAAAAAAGAACUAUGAGAUACUCUGUGCAUGAGUACUUCGGUGUUCUGAUAUGACGACUUCGCUGGAAAGGAGAUUUCGAAGGAAGAGAUGUACAUAUGAAGCUGGUGUUGCGAAUCGAAUUGAAUCUAGUCGCAUGAUAAUGUUGGAAUCAUAAGGAAACUUAAAGACAUUAGAUUUGAACAUAAGGCGUUACAGAAAAAACACAACCGUGCAACCAUCAACAAAGUUACAGUACUUUAGACUUACUACAAGACUAUUGUUGCGAAAAAGGUAUACUACAAAAGACAAGUAUACACUACACGAGCAUCCCUAUACUGACGAGAUCUCGCAAAAGAUAAGACUCUAGUUGCACUAGUUUCGGAUGGUUUAUAAGUCUGUUACAACGAAAUGCCUUAAAUACAUUAACGUGGGUCCGGAGUAGGUUCUCCUGUAGCUAUGAUCCUAAGAAUCUUCCCGUCUGUGCCCGAGUUCUUUUCUAUUGGACAUUCCUUCUUGAGAUGUCCCAUCUCUCCACAUAAAUGACAUAUCUGGCUAGUGCCAACAUCGGUAGUGGAAGUGAAGUGUUGGGUAGGAGUUAAGGGGACACGGUUGCUUUCGUUGAUCUUCUCUUUUGGACAACUUAUGUAAUAGUGUCAUGCCUCACCACAACUAUAGCAAACUAGGCUUGCUCCAGUGGUCGAGGUAGUUCUACAAAAACGAGCAAUGUGCCCCAUCUUGUUGCAAUUAUUGCAUUGCCGUACUCGGUAAAUUCCCUUGUGGUGAUAGUUGCACGGGUCGCACUUCGGGAGUGUUCCUUUAUAUGGUCUGCUCGGUACUAGGAUGGCAGAGGUUUCCACUUGUUGUUGUUGCAUGGCAAUUCUCUGAAAUCGCUUGCCUUCCACUUGGGAUUGACGUUUUCGUUUCUUGAACUCCGAGUUGUUGUUUUGGGCGGUGGCGACUGUUACUAUUUGUUGAUUUCUCGGAUCAUUACCACGAUCGGUAUCGUCAACUCCUUUAUUAGUCUUGUUUGUGUUGACAGUGUUGCGGUUUGCAAGGACAGUUGUCACGGCAGCCAUCACGGCAGCUGUAACUGCGGCUUGGAAAGUAGCGGCAUCCAUAGGAAAGGCAGGGGUUUCGUUGUUCGGCUGACUAUUUCCGGAUGACGACAUGAUUCUGUAACACGAAAGAUAAGGAUUUUGUGAGAGAUUUUGGUUGACCCUAGGUGUACUUCGAUUGCUCAAGUAAAGAGUAAGAGUAUGAUCUCGAAAGUUUUGACCUACAUCCCUAUGAUGCAGUCCUAGUACGGAUUGGAAGUAUGUGCGCGAAGGUUUGACCUACAUCCCUAUGAUGCAGUCCUAGUAAUGAGUGGAAACAAGUUCGUAGAAUGGUCUCAAGACGUUUUUCGUUCAAGCUGAGGUAUCGUUGGUUGGUGAAUAACAUGAUCCAACCACUAAAAGAGACUUGGAAAUGUCUCCGGAGUUAAAUUACUAUAGUCCAAUAUCUUGGCUAAAUCAUGUUGAUAGACUCCAAUGAAAGUAUGAUGAGAGUAUUUGAAUAAAGAAUGACACAGAAGUUAGCCUACUGUCAAUAUCUUUGAUAUUCAUGAUGUAAAAGUUCGGGAAAAUGACCUUGUAAAAGGUCUUACAUUAUAUCCAGAGAAGAUAGUCCAUGACAGCAUAAAGACCUAACCAAAAGUACUUACAGUUCAAGAUAGUUUCAUAGGAAAUGCCACAUCGGGCAUAGACAGAAAAAUGAUUUCUUUUAACAAGCAAGAUAAAUUAAGGCAUCUACUACUGGCGACGGUCAUCCCUCGGGUGAACUCUCAGUUCAGCCAGUUGGCGUUCCACAUCAAGUAGGUGUCUUUUGUACACCCUCUGGCGUACACAGAGUUCUAUGACUUCGGCUCGUGAUUCAUCCAAUGCUUGAAGUAGGGAUUCCUAGUCUCUCUCAGGUCUCUCACGAGUAUCUUCUAGAUAAAUGGUGCGGAGAGUAUGCAUUCUCGCAUUGGCGACAACUUCUGUGAUCUGAUGUAGGGUUGUCCUGCCUUGAAUCUCAUUUCAUGCCACUCUGAGGACCAGAAUUGGCAAGAUUCUGUCUGUUGGGCCCUCAUUUUUCAGGUCAUAAAAGCUUUGGUCACCAUUAAAUGGUAUGGGCUGAUCUUGUCCUUGGCUCCAUGUUUCCAAGCAUUCCACCCAUGGAGGCGUCGGGCUAUGAAAAGUCGGACGAGGGUUAGGAUUUGGAAAGGGAGAUGCCUGGGGUAGGUUCUCAACCUCGGGUUCGGAGUUAGCACCAUACGAAAGGUUUUCAUCAUGGUGAUCAUUCAAGUGGGAUAGGAUGGUCAUUCUCUCGUUCUUCUCCAAACCAACCAGCAAUGACUUCAUUCAGAAGGUAGUGGUUGCCGUGGAGAUGGAGUCCAACCAUGUUAUCUACGCGAGAAUUGGGGUAAGAAAAUAAUUAUUAGACGAACUAUCUAGAUGAUUAUUUUGAAAAUCUUCAUUAGUUACGUGACUAUUUGUGAAGUGCAUACCAGUUAUAUGUAAUCACAAUAGGAUUCACAAAGAAUAGGGGUAAAGAAAAAUUUUCACAGAUUCUAAGUCUAUAACAUCCUAGUUACAUAUAGCCUUAGCGUAUCCACUUAGCAACUAUCAACUUAGUAAUGAAGAUCCUUUUUAGUUCUCAAGUAUAAAGUACCUAUAGUAACACCAAAUACCCCUAUAGUAUUUUAGGUUUUAUGUUCUAUUGUUCACAUUGUGGUAUUGUUGGUAAGAUUUUAGACUUGUUGCAACUACACAACUACACUUAGGCACAUGCUAGUCAACCCUCGGAUAAUAUAGUUGAUCAGGCUAUAUCUUCCCAGUUUUGACUAUAUGUCUCUAAGUCCACCUGUGUUGCCCAACAAUCGUAAUUCUUUUGUACUGUCCUAGUGACACUGAUUUUAGUAUGAAUGCAGGCACGUAUACUUAAUUAAAUAUUUUAUUAUUUAAAGUAUAAAAUCUUGGUCAGAUUAUUUUAAUCCCAUUGUAUUUAUAGUCUGUAUAUCUUUUAUGGGUUGAUAUACUUAAGUCACUAUAAACAAUGCUCUGAUACCAAUCUGUCACACCCCAAAACCAUGAACGGCAGAAACGUUCUGGGGCGGAGGACGUCAUGUACAGUAUCACAAUAAUGAAAAGUAGUAAACAAGCAACAACAUCAUCCAUUGCAUUAAUAAUAUAAUUUUAAUACAAGUAUAUUCUGUUAAAUUAUGAUAAACACUAAAAUAUAAAUCAAAAUGAAAGAUGAGUCUUGAACGAGCACCAUCUUCUCUAAACCUUGCAUCGGUACCUGUCUACUGUUGACCUGAGGAUACAAGUUAUUUUGAAAGCGAGUAUCAGCUUUAAAGCUGGUGAGUUCAUAAGUAUUUUAGUGUCUUAAUUUGUAUGUAAGUAUUUGUACGUAUAUGAAAUGUAAGUAUUUGUAUGUAUAUGAACUGUAAGUAUUUGUAUGUAUAUGAACUGUAAGUAUUUGAAAACGUUUUGAACAUCGUAGAAAACCAUAUGUUUCCUACUAAAAGUAUCCUUCUACCAAGGCAUCUAGUAUCUUUGUGUGCGUCUCUUGUAAGAGUGUGUAUUUUCCCAAUUCCGACUAUCAUUAACCAAACUAUAGCUUCUACAUUACCGUGCAUCGUGUGAAUGUUCACGAAGUGAAUGUAAUGGGAAAAUGAUAUAGUACUAUGGUGUAGUAUCUAAACUACAACCAUACUAACUACCUUAAAUCUAUUGUAAUCUCGUAAGUACUGUAGUAUUUGUAAUAAGUGACUACUUUUGUACUAAUUUUGCUUUAUUUGAGGGAUAAGGCAUAAUGGGAUGGCUAGAUCCCAGGCUAUACGCUCCCCUGU
rnacentral:lncRNA from 1 species